rnacentral:rRNA from 1 species
CAGUAGCCGCGGUAAUACGUAGGGUGCGAGCGUUAAUCGGAAUUACUGGGCGUAAAGCGUGCGCAGGCGGUUAUGUAAGACAGUUGUGAAAUCCCCGGGCUCAACCUGGGAACUGCAUCUGUGACUGCAUAGCUAGAGUACGGUAGAGGGGGAUGGAAUUCCGCGUGUAGCAGUGAAAUGCGUAGAUAUGCGGAGGAGCACCGAUGGCGAAGGCAAUCCCCUUGACCUGUACUGACGCUCAUGCACGAAAGCGUGGGGAGCAAACAGGAUUAGAUACCCCAGUAGUCCCUGUCUCUUAUCC